UGGGGAAUAUUGGACAAUGGGGGCAACCCUGAUCCAGCAAUGCCGCGUGUGUGAAGAAGGUCUUCGGAUUGUAAAGCACUUUCGACGGGGACGAUGAUGACGGUACCCGUAGAAGAAGCCCCGGCUAACUUCGUGCCAGCAGCCGCGGUAAUACGAAGGGGGCUAGCGUUGCUCGGAAUGACUGGGCGUAAAGGGCGUGUAGGCGGUUUACACAGUCAGAUGUGAAAUCCCCGGGCUUAACCUGGGAGCUGCAUUUGAUACGUGUAGACUAGAGUGUGAGAGAGGGUUGUGGAAUUCCCAGUGUAGAGGUGAAAUUCGUAGAUAUUGGGAAGAACACCGGUGGCGAAGGCGGCAACCUGGCUCAUUACUGACGCUGAGGCGCGAAAGCGUGGGGAGCAAACAGGUUAGAUACCCUGGUAGUCCACGCUGUAAACGAUGUGUGCUAGAUGUUGGGUAACUUUGUUA
rnacentral:rRNA from 1 species